GAUCCUGGCUCAGGAUAAACGCUGGCGGCGCACAUAAGACAUGCAAGUCGAACGAACUUAACCAUUAGUUUACUAUUGGAGCGGUUAGUGGCGGACUGGUGAGUAACACGUAAGCAACCUGCCUAUCAGAGGGGAACAACAGUUAGAAAUGACUGCUAAUACCGCAUAUGCCUUGAGUAUCACAUGGUACAAAAGGGAAAGGAGCAAUCCGCUGAUAGAUGGGCUUGCGU
rnacentral:rRNA from 1 species